UCCGGUAUGGUCUAGUGGCUAGGAUAACAGGUUCUCGUCAAGGAGGCCUGGGUUCGUUUCCCGGUGCAAGAA